GCUAAACGCGAAGAACCUUACCUGGUCUUGACAUAGUAAGAACUUUCCAGAGAUGGAUUGGUGCCUUCGGGAACUUACAUACAGGUGCUGCAUGGCUGUCGUCAGCUCGUGUCGUGAGAUGUUGGGUUAAGUCCCGUAACGAGCGCAACCCUUGUCCUUAGUUGCCAUCAUUAAGUUGGGAACUCUAAGGAGACCGCCGGUGACAAACCGGAGGAAGGUGGGGAUGACGUCAAGUCAUCAUGGCCUUUAUGGCCAGGGCUACACACGUGCUACAAUGGCAGGUACAGAGGGAGGCCAACCGGCGACGGGGAGCUAAUCCCAGAAAGCCUGUCUUAGUCCGGAUUGCAGUCUGCAACUCGACUGCAUGAAGUUGGAAUCGCUAGUAAUCGCAGAUCAGCAUUGCUGCGGUGAAUACGUUCCCGGGUCUUGUACACACCG
rnacentral:rRNA from 1 species